AUCAAAGUUACCACAAUACAAAUGUUCAAUUCUGUAAAACUGUCCCUAGAGAGUGGAUGGAAAGUGUUUAAUUUAUUCAUCUAACUCAUUCGAUCCUAACAAUUUUGACCAGAAAAAGCAUGGGACCUCACCUUAGACUAGGAUUUCUCUUCAUCUGACUGGGAUGGUUGACCAGGGACAGAAUCCACAAAAAAUUCCUCCACUAUGUCCUCAUGCUCUGGAGAAUCAAGUAAAAUUUCAGAAUCAGAGGGCAGAAAUGGAGAACCAGGAUAGUUUCCUAGGGCUCCCAAAUCUCCCAAGUUUGAUAAAUCUGCUGUUAAGUCAGAAAGGCUGAAAUUCCACUGAAUCUGAUCUAAUGAUCUGGAGGUGCCAACCCCACCAUCUGGUCCAAGCUGCAAUCCUACUGAGCUGGCCACAUCAGAUGUAAAUGCUGUAUCAAGUGCUGAUGUGUCAACUCCCAUACCUGAUAUUUCUGAUGCAGUGAAGGGAAAGUGACCACUGGAUGCCACUGAUGUAGGACUCACAGGCAUAUCAGACAUGGAUGACAUGGCACUGCUUGGUGGAACUACAGGAGCCAUAUCAGGCGUAUUAUCCCUCAUUACCAAAUUGUUCCCAGAAUUCAUCCGAAUUGGAUGAAAAUUUCCUGGAGCAGGGACUCCAUUAACCACAUGGCAGCUUGAUAUUCCACAUCCCAUGGAGUCAAGAUGGGGCUGACCUGGAGCUGGCAUUGGAGGUUGUUGCAUGACAGGGUAUCCCAUAGGUAAAUUGUUAACGGGCAUGGGAUGAAUCCCAUUUUGUAUGGGGGCCAAAUGAACUUUUGAAGAUACUGGAAACUUCAUAAGAUGAUAUUGAUGUUCAAGCAAAUGAUUAAAUAAGAGAAUUUGCUUCUUCAGUUUCAGCCUUAUGUAAUAGGACCUGAAGAAAUCAGCAUUUUCUUCUUCCAACUUCUGCCAUACCAGUGUUGUAAAUCCAGGGUCUAUCCUUGCACGUGUCAAGAGGGUUUUGACCACCUCAUCUCUAUUCAUGUACAACUGCAAGCACCGCUCUAUGAGAUUCUGAACAAGUUCAAUAUCUUGGCGUGAAACCUUUUGGCCAUCAUUGCUUGAAGCAGAUACUGAAGCAGAGUCUGCUACAGGAGCCUCUGAUGUGUGAUUGUUCUGUUGGUCACUUUGAGAGUCCUGCGAAACUUGCGUUGAGGACUGUGUUUCUUGAUUGCUCUGUAAGGUCUUCAUUCCAGCUGACUACAGGUUGAUGGCAUCUCUUCAGUCCAGAUACUCCUUGGCUGCAGCUAAUGCCACAUAGUUUGUCAAAGGAAAAAUAAAAGCAACUACUUCUGUAACAGUCAGAGAACAAGGCAGUUUUUGCCUUGAACCCGAAAUUCUGAAUCUCCAA
rnacentral:misc_RNA from 1 species